rnacentral:rRNA from 1 species
GCAAGCCUGACGGAGCAAUACCGCGUGAGGGAGGACGCUUUUUGGAGUGUAAACCUCUUUUAUUAGGAAGAAGUGAUGACGGUACCUAAUGAAUCAGCAUCGGCUAACUCCGUGCCAGCAGCCGCGGUAAUACGGAGGAUGCAAGCGUUAUCCGGAAUUAUUGGGCGUAAAGCGUCCGUAGGUGGCUUUUUAAGUCUUUUGUCGAAGCGUGCAGCUUAACUGCAUACGGGCGGAGGAAACUAAGGAGCUAGAGUGCGAUAGGGGUCACAGGAAUUCCCAGUGUAGCGGUGAAAUGCGUAGAUAUUGGGAAGAACACCAGCGGCGAAAGCGUGUGACUGGGUCUGCACUGACACUGAGGGGCGAAAGCUAGGGGAGCGAAAGGGAUUAGAUACCCCUGUAGUCCUAGCCGUAAACGAUGACAACUAGGUGUGGUUCGUAUCGACCCGAGCCGUGCCGUAGCCAACGCGUUAAGUUGUCCGCCUGGGGAGUACGCACGCAAGUGUGAAACUCAAAGGAAUUGACGGGGGCCCGCACAAGCGGUGGAGUAUGUGGUUUAAUUCGAUGCAACGCGAAGAACCUUACCAAGGCUUGACAUCCUGCGAACUUUUCUGAAAGGAGAAGGUGCCUUCGGGAGCGCAGAGACAGGUGGUGCAUGGCUGUCGUCAGCUCGUGUCGUGAGAUGUUGGGCUAAGUCCCGCAACGAGCGCAACCCACGUUUUUAGUUGCCAUCAGGUAGAGCUGGGCACUCUAGAGAGACUGCCGGUGACAAACCGGAGGAAGGUGUGGAUGACGUCAAGUCAGCAUGCCCCUUACGCCUUGGGCUACACACGUACUACAAUGCUACGGACAAAGAGCAGCCAGACAGCGAUGUUGAGCCAAUCUCAUAAACCGUAGCUCAGUUCAGAUUGCAGGCUGCAACUCGCCUGCAUGAAGGCGGAAUCGCUAGUAAUCGCAGGUCAGCAUACUGCGGUGAAUACGUUCCCGGGUCUUGCACACACCGCCCGU